GAGAGAGGCUCGCCAGCAACGAAGACUGCUAAUCUCCGUGAUUUUGGUUGAACUCCAAGACUCACUCG
rnacentral:tRNA from 1 species